rnacentral:rRNA from 1 species
AGACGAACGCUGGCGGCGCGUCUAAGCAUGCAAGUCGAACGGCAAGAGGUAGCAAUACCUCCUAGAGUGGCGGACUGGUGAGUAACACGUGGGUGACAUACCCUUCAGAUGGGGAUAGCUAUUAGAAAUAGUAGAUAAUACCGAAUACGAGCACAGGGGUUAGAGAUCUGUGAGGAAAGGAGCUAAGGCUCCGCUGAAGGAAUGGCCUGCGGCCCAUUAGCUAGUUGGUGAGGUAAGAGCCCACCAAGGCGAUGAUGGGUAUCCGGCCUUAGAGGGUGAACGGACACAUUGGGACUGAGAUACGGCCCAGACUCCUACGGGAGGCAGCAGCUAAGAAUAUUCCGCAAUGGACGAAAGUCUGACGGAGCGACGCCGCGUGGAUGAAGAAGGCCGGAAGGUUGUAAAAUCCUUUUGAAACUGAAGAAUAAGCGUUGUAGGGAAUGACAGCGUGGUGACAGUAGGUUUUGAAUAAGCAACGGCUAAUUACGUGCCAGCCGCUGC